rnacentral:rRNA from 1 species
AACGAACGCUGGCGGCAUGCCUAACACAUGCAAGUCGAACGAGACCUUCGGGUCUAGUGGCGCACGUGUGCGUAACGCGUGGGAACCUGCCCUUAGGUUCGGAAUAACUCCCCGAAAGGGGUGCUAAUACCGGAUAAUGUCUUCGGACCAAAGAUUUCUGGCCUUUGGAUGGGCCCGCGUUGGAUUAGCUAGUUGGUAGGGUAAAAGCCUACCAAGGCGACGAUCCAUAGCUGGUCUGAGAGGAUGAUCAGCCACAAUGGGACUGAGACACGGCCCAGACUCCUACGGGAGGAAGCAGGGGGGAAUAAUAGACAAUGGGCGAAAGCCUAAUCAAGCAAUGCCGCGUGAGUGAUGAAGGCCUUAGGGUUGUAAAGCUCUUUUACCCGGGAUGAUAAUGACAGGACCGGGAGAAUAAGAUCCGGCUAACUCCGUU